rnacentral:siRNA from 1 species
GAACCUAUGCAAUAUGAUCCGCCU